GUGAAAUGCGUAGAGAUCCGGAAGAACACCAAAGGCGAAGGCAGUGUCCUGGUUGGUACCUGACGCUCAGAGGCGACAGCUAGGGGAGCGAACGGGAUUAGAUACCCCGGUAGUCCUAGCCGUAAACGAUGACCACGAGAUGUCCGGGGGAUCGACCCCCUGGGUGUCGAAGCAAACGCAGUCAGUGGUCCGCCUGGGGAGUACGGUCGCAAGAUUAAAACUCAAAGGAAUUGACGGGGACCCGCACAAGCAGCGGAGCGUGUGGUUUAAUUCGAUGCAACGCGAAGCACCUUACCAGGGUUUGACAUGUCUUCGCACCUCUAGGAGAGUAGAGUGCCCGCAAGGGACGGAGACACAGGUGCUGCAUGGCUGUCGUCAGCUCGUGCCGUGAGGUGUUGGGUUAAGUCCCGCAACGAGCGCAACCCUCAUUGCUAGUUGAACUUCUCUAGCGAGACUGCCACGAUCAACGUGGAGGAAGGUGGGGAUGACGUCAAGUCAGCACGGCCCUUACAUCCUGGGCGACACACACGCUACAAUGGCCGAGACAAAGAGUUGCGAACCGGCGACGGGGAGCUAAUCUCGUCAAACUCGGUCUCAGUUCAGAUUGCAGGCUGCAACCCGCCUGCAUGAAGUUGGAGUUGCUAGUAACCGUGAGUCAGCACAUCACGGUGAAUACGUUCCCGGGUCUUGUACACACCGCCCGUCACACCACGAAAGUCGGCAACCCCUGAAGCCGCUGGGCUAACUCGCAAGAGAGGCAAGCGUCGAGGGUGGGGUCGGUGAUUGGGGUGAAGUCGUAACAAGGUAACCGU
rnacentral:rRNA from 1 species